UUCAUGAUAACAGUCAACAUUCAUUUGUAAUUGGAUUACCGUAUUUAAAUAAAAGUUUCUAUCUAUCUAUAAUUGCACUUCGUGCGACUUAUGAUUUACAUUAAUAACAAAAUUUCAAUUAUUGGUAUCUUCAGAGGUGGGAAAAGUAUCGCAACCUGGGAAACACGUUCCCAAAAAAAUUUCGAGAUCUACAUUUUUGCAGAAAUUUUCACAGACAUUUUUUAUGUUUAAUAACUUAUUCUGGAAAUUAGACAUACAGUAUUGCUUCACAAAACAAUACUAUAUAAGACAGUCACAAACAACAAUUUUGUACUAAAUAUUUUCCCCUAUUUAUUGUAAUCUUUUGCAGAAAAUUUUGAGACCUAAACCCAGGUUGCCAGAAAGAAAAAUACAUUUUCCACCUCUGGCUAUAUCUUGUAAAUUAGUAAAUAUACUACAGUUUCAUAGUAGUCACAUUAUGAAUCAUCAGUAAAUACCAUUCCUUAUUUAAAUAUACUUCGUAAUCUAGAGUGUUGUCAAUAUUCGUAAUCUAGAGUGUUCUUAAUAUCGAUCACCGAUCAAUAUAGUCAUUGAUUUCAUUCCCAUUCCUUAAUAUACUUCGUAAUAUAGAGUAUUGUCAAUUUAAUUGAUUAUUGAUGGACCUGGCAAUACCAUUUCUUAAUAUCGAUCACUGAUCAAUAUAUUCAUUGAUUUCAUUCUCAUUUCUUCACAUACUUCGCAAUCUAGAGUAUUGUCAAUUUCAUUAAUUACUGAUGGAACAAUACCAUUUUUAUAUAUUCAUCGAUUUUAUUCCCAUUCCUUAAUAUUAAAGUAACUUCGCAAUCUAGAGUGUUAUCAAUUUCAUUGAUUUUGGAUCAAUAUCAUUUCUUAAUAUCGAUCACCGAUCAAUAUAUUCAUUGGUUUCAUUCCCAUUCCUUAACAUACUUCGUAAUCUAGAGUGUUGUCAAUUUCAUUGAUUAUGGGACAAUACCAUUUCUUAAUAUCGAUCACCGAUCAAUAUAUUCAUUGAUUUCAUUCCCAUUCCUCAACAUACUUCGUAAUCUAGAGUGUUGUCAAUUUCAUUGAUUAUGGACCAAUACCAUUUCUUAAUAUCGAUCAUCGAUCAAUAUUCAUUGAUUUCAUUCCCAUUCCUUAAUAUACUUCGUAAUAUAGAGUAUUGUCAAUUGAAUUGAUUAUUGAUGGAUCAAUACCAUUUCUAUAUAUUCAUUGAUUUCAAUCCCAUUCCUUAAUAUUAAAGUAACUUCGUAAUCUAGAGUGUUAUCAAUUUCAUUGAUUAUGGACCAAUAUCAUUUCCUAAUAUCGAUCACCAAUCAAUAUAUUCAUUGAUUUCAUUCCCAUUCCUUAAUUGAUAUACUUCGUAAUCUAGAGUACUGUCAAUUUCAUUG
rnacentral:lncRNA from 1 species